GCGUAGUAAAUAAAUGAUUCAUGCAAGUUCAAUUACAAGGGUUUACAGUUACCCAUUUACCCACAAAUGAAAUAAGGACUGUCACAAGGACUUCCCAAAUUUACUCCCCACCUCUGCUGGGAGACAGCACUAGAUGGGUUAAAGAGGUCUUCCAGGAGAACUGAGUAUCACUGACCAACUGCUGUACUGGAUAAGGAACAGGCAGUAGAUGUGAUAUAGCCUGACCACUAAAGAUGUUGAUGCUGUCACAUGUGACAAUCCCAGAAGCAGAAGAAAGAAAUAUG